AUACGGAGGAUCCGAGCGUUAUCCGGAUUUAUUGGGUUUAAAGGGUGCGCAGGCGGGAGAUUAAGUCGGCGGUGAAAUUUUGCAGCUCAACUGUAAAAGUGCCUUCGAUACUGGUUUUCUUGAGUGUGGAUGAAGUAGGCGGAAUUUGUGGUGUAGCGGUGAAAUGCUUAGAGAUCACGAGGAACUCCGAUUGCGCAGGCAGCCUACUAAAACACUGAUGACGCUCAGUCACGAAGGCGUGGGGAUCAAACAGGAUUAGAUACCCUGGUAGGCUACGCAGUAAACGAUGAAUACUGGCUUUAUGCGAUACAAUGUAAGCGGCUGAGCGAAAGCGUUAAGGAAUCCCCCUGGGGAGUACGUUCGCAAGAAUGCAGCUCACACGAAUUGACGGGG
rnacentral:rRNA from 1 species